rnacentral:rRNA from 1 species
UACGUAGGGGGCAAGCGUUGUCCGGAUUUAUUGGGCGUAAAGAGCGUGUAGGCGGCUUGGUAGGUCCGCUGUGAAAACUCGAGGCUCAACCUCGAGAUGUCGGCGGAAACCACUUGGCUAGAGUCCGGAAGAGGAGAGUGGAAUUCCCGGUGUAGCGGUGAAAUGCGCAGAUAUCGGGAAGAACACCUAUGGCGAAGGCAGCUCUCUGGGACGGUACUGACGCUGAGACGCGAAGGCCAGGGGAGCAAACGGG